UGCAGGAAAGGACGACCUGGUAACCCUAUACACCGAUGAAGGGGCAACGGACGUCAAUGGGGUCAGAUGUCUACGUUGACGUCUGUCAUAGUAGAAGAUCAUUUCCGCUGAACACGUUGCUCAUUCUUAUCGAACCAUUGUGAAAGGUAGACCAUAAGUGCACACUGAAGAUACCGAUAUCGAAGUAAAAUCUAUUGAAUUUGUGACAAAGUUAAUACUCAAAAGGUAGUGAAAAAUUAUCAUUUUAAUGUCCAUUUCUAAUAAUUUGUGAAUUCGUAGAGUGUAGUUGGGGAAAGUUAUACAUCCAGUAGCUGAAUUGCAGUUCUUAGUUCCAGAAAUUGAGGUUGGUGAAGGUUAGGUUUGGCCAGUUAAUAGUUGUAAAACCCGAUUAAAUCCGUAGCUCGCGUCCCAGUGAAGUGGCCCAAUCCGUCCGUUGUCGAAGUAGCUGAAAAGAGAAGAUACCUGAAAAGAAACCUGAAAAGAAAAGUAAAUUAAAAUUAAUUAAAAGUUUAACAGUAUAACGAAUAAUAUUUAACAGUAUUCUGCAGUUUUCGGUGCUGGGAAUCGACACGUGGGGUGAGCGAGCUAAGGCCCACCGAAUUGUAAGCCAUUACAAGAUAUUCAUUUGUAUUUGGGAUUAAGUGUACUUACCAUUUUGUUUAAUUUUUAGUUGAAGCUUACAUAAUACAUAGUUCGCUGUCAAAACGGAACGCUUUUUCUUCGCACCCCGCCCCCUCGACAAACCUUCAAAAUUCGUGUGCAAUGGCAGGACAACACGACGACCGCCCUACGGGGGGCUGCAUUGGCUGUCAGCGACCGGAUGAGGUGGAAGACAUGGUCCAGUGCGACCAUUGCGACGUGUGGAGCCAUUACACUUGCGCGGGGGUGGACGAGAACAUCGCCAACCACUCUUGGGUUUGCGGCCACUGCACUGGCCGGCAAAGCGACGAUGCUAUCACCGUACAUAGUGCGUCCAGUCACCGUAGUACGUCGUCGGUGUUCUCCGUUUGUUUGAGUCAGAUGGUGGAACGACAACAGCUCGAACGCACCCGUAUGGAGAUAGAGCUACAGCGCCGUCAUUUGGAUGAGCAGCAACAGCUUAUCGACAAGGUGCUCGACGGAGCCGAUGCGAAGGGAAAUCGCGAUGAUGGUUUCCCAUGCGAAGAGACCAAUGCGUUAACUUCGCCGUCGUCCAACAAGCGACUCAAAACGCCACCUCCUCCUGGCGCUCCUCUAGUACCGAAACCCCGCCGGUCAUUGCCACCGACUGAGACACCGAGGACAACCGCACCGGUUGUGGUUUCUAUUCCUCUCUCGGUGCUCGAACCAGGUACCGUAGAAUCUUUGAAGCGCAAGAAAGAUCCCCAAGUGGCUAUGAAGGAGCUCAAGAAACGGGUUGAGCAGUGCGAGCAGCGCGCCAAUCCUACUCCUGAACAACUUGCCGAUCUCCAAGCCCAAUUGGAAAUGUGCCGAAAGCUUCUGGAACGUUUCCAGGCCAACAAGCAACCCGCUGAGCGGGGUCAACAAGCGGAGCCAUCUCAGCCGAAUCCAGCGGCGGAAAUAUCGGGUGUGCAGAAACCUACCGGCACCAUUCCGAAAGCGAGCCGGACAUUACCAACGAUUCCGGAUGAGUCCGGAGCAGUUGGUGGAGCAUUUCGGCCGGAUCAUGUCUGGCCACUUAAGGUCCCGGUAAGCCAAACGGGUUCCUUUUCGGUAAGUCAACCAAAUGCUCCGUUGCGCCCGAUGGAGAAUCCAGGUAAGCGUCAAGCCUUGAGUAAAUUCCUAGAAAAUACGAACCAACAUGACAUUAGCUAUUGCCCCACGACCAACAUUCCAACUUCCCGUGUGCAGCUGCGAAACGACGCGCGCCCGGAAGAAAGACAGACUCCUAUUUAUCCCCGAGAGCAGCUGCGAGACUCAUUCGCGCCCUCCAACAACGAUUCGUACAAUUUCGUACGCGAACUAAAUUCAACCAGCCUGCCUUUAAGGGAACCUCCCACGCGCGCGGUUGAAUCGUCUCAGACCCCUCGUCAAUCAGAUAGUGUUCAACACAACCCAACAAUUCCCAACCACGAACUAGUACGUCCAACGCAGCAGCAGCUAGCAGCUAGGCAGUCCCUGGCUAAGGAACUCCCCCGAUUUUCUGGCGAUCCCGCGGAGUGGCCGAUAUUUAUCUCCAGCUACCGCUACACCACCGAAGCUUGCGGAUUCUCAGAUGGGGAGAAUAUGCUCCGUCUUCAGCGAUGUUUAUCGGGACCGGCGCUCGAAACAGUACGCAGCCGAUUAGUGUUACCUGCAGCUGUACCCCAAGUCAUCGAAACCCUCCGAAUGCGAUUCGGCAGACCGGAGUUGCUAAUUAAUGCUCUACUCCGGAAGGUUCGCGAGAUUCCGGCUCCAAGGUCCGACAAACUGGAAGGACUAAUCGACUUCGGCAUGGCAGUGCAAGCGUUGUGCGACCACAUUGAGGCUGCCAACGAACGUGCCCAUCUUUCCAACCCAUCGCUGCUUCAGGAAUUGGUGGCAAAGCUUCCCGCGGAUCAACGAAUGAUGUGGGCCGGAUAUAGACGGGGAUUUCAGCAAGUGGACCUCAAAACCUUCGGCGAUUACAUGGCGGCGGUGGUGCAGGAUGCCACAAGUGUGGUGACCUUCGAACCGGACGUGAAACGCAGCGGCGCCCGCGACCGUCCGAAGAACAAGGGAUUCGUCAACUCUCAUGCGAAGGAACCAUCGGAACCCGUGAAAUCAUCCCACGAGCCGAAAGACGAGUCGAAGCAGUUCAACUGUGCAUAUUGCAAAAGAGAAGGUCAUCGGGCUCGCGAAUGCCAUGCAUUCAGGUACCUACACGUCGACGAUCGCUGGAAGCAAGUACGGUCACUCGGCCUAUGCCAGAAUUGUCUUUAUAACCACGGAAGACGUGGGUGCCGAGGACGGAAAACCUGUGACAUUGACGGCUGCCAAUUUCGCCACCAUCCGCUCCUGCAUUCCUCCAAGGGUCCUCAACGAUCUUCUGAUGCGUUAGUUCAGGUGGCAGAGAAUCACACCCAUCGUCACCUUACUUCCGGAACCCUAUUCCGAAUUAUUCCGGUAACGUUGCACGGCAUGAGCAAGUCAAUCGAUACGUUCGCUUUCCUCGACGAAGGUUCGGAUCUAACCUUGGUGGAGAAUGAUCUGGUGGCCUCGCUAGGAAUAAAGGGGACGCAACUACCAUUAUGUCUCCGUUGGACCGGGAACACUUCAAGAGUGGAGAAGAAUUCGCAGCAGAUAACGAUCGAAAUCACUGGUCUCGGGCAGGAAAAACGGCAUAAACUGCUUAAUGCGAGAACCGUGACCAACCUUGGCCUACCCGGUCAAAGUUUCCAAGUGGAUGAGACUGCACAACAGCACAGACACCUGAAGGGAAUUCCUAUUACCAGUUAUCAAAAUGCGGUACCCAAAAUUCUGAUCGGGGUGGACAAUUUGCGACUAGCAUUACCGCUGAAAGUACGAGAAGGUGACGGAACAGCGCCAGUGGCAGUGAAAACCAGGCUGGGGUGGUGCGUCUACGGCCCGCGAGGAACCAGCAGACAGGAAUCGUAUAGCUUCCACGUGUGCGAAUGUUCCUGCGAUGAAGAACUCCACGAAGCGGUGAAGAAAUUCUACGCUGUCGAAGAAGCGGGUUCAACGCCAGCGCAAACCUCUCUGGCAAAGGAGGAUGAGAGAGCGCUAGCUAUCAUGGAAGCUACGACCCAGAGAGUGGGUGACCGGUUUGUGACCGGGCUUAUUUGGCGAGAAGAUGAAGUAGAGUUUCCGGACAGCUAUUUUAUGGCAGUGCGCCGACUGGAGUGCCUCGAACGAAGGAUGGACCGCGACCCUGGACUGAAAGAGAAUCUUCACCGGCAAAUCGGUGAAUACCAGAAGAAAGGCUAUGCGCACAAGCUCACAACUAAGGAGAUGGAAGCAGCAGAUCCGAAGCGAAUCUGGUAUCUCCCAGUCGGAGCGGUUAUGAAUCCCAAGAAACCGGGGAAAGUCCGAGUCAUCUGGGACGCUGCGGCCAAGGUGAACGGCGUAUCGUUAAACAGCAAGCUCCUCAAAGGCCCGGAUCAACUGACGUCUCUUCCGGCAAUACUUUUUCGCUUUCGGCUGUAUGGGGUGGCCGUUACUUCGGAUAUCCAAGAGAUGUUCCAUCAAAUCCGAAUUCGUAAAGAAGACAGGGACUCUCAACGUUUCCUAUGGCGUGCCAAGCCGACCGAUGCUCCCACGGUCUACGUGAUGGACGUAGCUACAUUUGGAAGCACUUGCUCACCGGCGUCAGCGCAAUUUAUCAAGAACCGGAAUGCGGAACUACACAGCGAGCUCUAUCCAGAGGCGGCAAAAGCGAUUGUCGACGACCACUACGUCGACGAUUAUUUGGCGAGUUUUAGUUCAUGGGAACAGGCAGCAAAGGUGGCGUGCGAUCUGCGGCUCGUGCAUGGCAACGGCGGAUUCAACUUGCACAACUGGCGGUCUAAUAGUGCCUCGGUUCUAGAAGCGCUGGGAGAGGCACCUCUUGCGUCGGUCAAGCAGAUAAGUUUGGCUGACGGCGUGAAAACCGAAAGAGUUCUCGGAAUGCUGUGGAGUCCAUCGAGCGACGAACUGAGCUUCUCUACCCAGAUGAGUGAAGAAGUCCAAUCCCUGAUCAAUACAGUCACGAGACCGACGAAAAGGCAAGUGUUGCGUUGCGUGAUGACCCUAUUCGACCCUUUAGGAUUGCUCUCGCCAUUCAUCAUUCACGGAAAGGUCUUGAUCCAGGACCUAUGGCGAGCAGGCACUUUGUGGGAUGAGCAAGUCAACGAAGAAAUCUACGCGAAGUGGCACAGAUGGGUGCAGAUGAUCGGUUACAUCGCGGAUAUACGAAUUCCGCGGUGCUACUUCCGAAACGCCGACCAGUACACGUACCAAAACUCAGAGCUCCACGUUUUUGUCGACGCAAGCGAGGUUGCGUACUCUUGCGCGAUUUAUCUACGCACUCAAAGUGAGGGUGGUGACUCACAAUGUUGUCUAAUCGCCGCUAAAUCGAAAGUCGCCCCGCUGAAGCCCUGGUCAAUUCCGAGACUCGAGCUGCAAAGCUGUGUCUUGGGAGUACGAUGGUCGAAAUUCGUCAAGUCAGAACUCAAUAUUCCCAUAUCUAAGAUGGUGUUCUGGUCAGAUUCCAGAACGGCUUUGGCCUGGAUCAAAUCCGACCCAAGGAAUUAUCGACAAUUCGUCUCGUUCAGAGUAGGAGAGAUUCUGGAGCAUACAACUUCGAACGAUUGGCGGUGGGUACCGUCGAAGGCCAAUCCGGCGGAUGAGGCUACCAAGUGGGGAAGCGGCCCGUAUUUCGAUAGAAAUAGCAAGUGGUUUCAAGGACCACAUUUUCUGCGACUUCCGGAGAACGAAUGGCCUCGUUCGAGCGAUCAAGUGUCUACUACCAGCGAAGAAAUGCGUGCAUCGAUUCUGUACCACUGUUCCUUCGAACCCCCGAUAGAUUUCGACAGAUUUUCAUCGUGGAAUCGAAUGCUGCGAGCGAUAGCAUACGUCUUGAGAUUCCUGAACAACUCGAAUAAGAAGCGAUCAUUGCGCACUGGGCAGCUAUCCCAAACAGAACUCCAUUUAGCGGAAGUAACACUCUUCAAAGCGGUGCAGCGUGAAACAUACCCUGACGAGAUCACGGCGUUAUGCAACAAGGCACCGAACGAGAGCGGGCAGGAGGUCAUAGGAAAACAUAGCUCGAUCUUCCAGCUGUUGCCGAUGCUGGACAACGGCGGUCUGCUGCGCGAGCGUGGACGGAUCGGGUCUGCUGAAGAUAUACCGUUUAAUGUACGCCAUCCGAUUAUCCUUCCUAGGAACCACCGAGCUACCGAGCUGCUGGUGUUAGAUUAUCACCAACGUUGCCAGCAUGGGAAUUCUGAGACAGUGGUGAAUGAGAUACGCCAAUUCUACAACAUCCCAAGACUGCGAUCGGUGGUAAAGAAAAUUUGUCGGGACUGCGCACUGUGUAAAGUUCGCCGAGCCAGGCCAGCUAUUCCACCGAUGGCGCCACUUCCUGCGGCGCGACUUGCCCACCAUGAACGAGCGUUUACCUACACCGGUGUGGAUUAUUUCGGCCCGCUGGUAGUCAAGCUGGGAAGAUCCAAUGUGAAGCGGUGGAUUGCAUUAUUCACUUGCCUAACAGUACGUGCUGUUCACUUGGAAGUAGCGUAUACAUUAUCAACCGAGUCCUGCAUAUCCUGCGUUCGCCGAUUCGUUGGCCGCCGAGGACCGCCCGCCGAGUUCUUCAGCGACAACGGGACAAAUUUCCAAGGGGCGGAUCGAGUGCUGCGACAUCAAAUUAGUCAGGGACUGUCUACAACGUUCACCGGUACCAACACCAAAUGGAACUUUAUUCCGCCAGGAGCACCCCACAUGGGCGGAGCGUGGGAGCGCUUAGUUCAGUCGGUGAAGGCAGCCAUGCAAGAAGCAUAUUCGGAGGGAAAGCUCAACGACGAGGGGCUGCAGACGCUGGUCGUGGAGGCUGAAAGAUUGGUUAACUCAAGGCCUCUGACGUAUUUGCCACUAGAAGCUGAGGAAUCAGAGGCGAUCACGCCCAAUCACUUUUUGCUGCUUAGCUCUAACGGAUUGAAACCUCAUAGUGGGGAAAACGAUGCUUCAGAACACGGACACUAUCCCGAGUUGGUCCGUCGGGAAAUACUUGGAAGAACAUGGGAGCUGAUUCAACGCCAGCUGGAUGUAUUCUGGAAGCGCUGGUUGGUUGAAUACCUGCCGGUAAUUCGUCGGCAUCCAAAGUGGUUCGAGGAAACUCGAAUGCUACGAGCAGGAGACUUGGUCAUGGUAGCUGAGCCGACAAAGCGAAAUGGAUGGGAGCGUGGACGGGUCGUCCGUACUGUCCCAAGUCCGGACGGCCGACAUCGACGAGCGUUUGUGCAGAUAGGGAGGAAAACUCUGCUGAGACCGGUGUCACGGUUAGCCCUCCUCGACCUGAGAAGUAGCAGUGAAGCUCCGGACAUUCCCGGACUACACCCGGGGGAGACUGUCGAUGCAGGAAAGGACGACCUGGUAACCCUAUACACCGAUGAAGGGGCAACGGACGUCAAUGGGGUCAGAUGUCUACGUUGACGUCUGUCAUAGUAGAAGAUCAUUUCCGCUGAACACGUUGCUCAUUCUUAUCGAACCAUUGUGAAAGGUAGACCAUAAGUGCACACUGAAGAUACCGAUAUCGAAGUAAAAUCUAUUGAAUUUGUGACAAAGUUAAUACUCAAAAGGUAGUGAAAAAUUAUCAUUUUAAUGUCCAUUUCUAAUAAUUUGUGAAUUCGUAGAGUGUAGUUGGGGAAAGUUAUACAUCCAGUAGCUGAAUUGCAGUUCUUAGUUCCAGAAAUUGAGGUUGGUGAAGGUUAGGUUUGGCCAGUUAAUAGUUGUAAAACCCGAUUAAAUCCGUAGCUCGCGUCCCAGUGAAGUGGCCCAAUCCGUCCGUUGUCGAAGUAGCUGAAAAGAGAAGAUACCUGAAAAGAAACCUGAAAAGAAAAUAUUCUGCAGUUUUCGGUGCUGGGAAUCGACACGUGGGGUGAGCGAGCUAAGGCCCACCGAAUUGUAAGCCAUUACAAGAUAUUCAUUUGUAUUUGGGAUUAAGUGUACUUACCAUUUUGUUUAAUUUUUAGUUGAAGCUUACAUAAUACAUAGUUCGCUGUCAAAACGGAACGCUUUUUCUUCGCACCCCGCCCCC